rnacentral:lncRNA from 1 species
GGCCAUCUCUACAACACUCUUCAGAGCAAGGGAAUCCACACUUUCAUUGAUGAUGAGGAGCUUCCAAGAGGGGAGGAAAUAACACCAGCACUUAUGAAGGCAAUUCAAGAUUCCAGAGUUGCCAUCACUGUGCUCUCUGAACACUAUGCUUCUGUUAGCAUAUCAGAGGCAACAAGCAUGGCAUCAGGAAACAAAGACGUGAAGCAGAAGAAAGUACAGGAGGUGCAGAUAGCAAAGAAGCCCAAAAGAAAGGUUAGAAGGCCAGCUUACUUGAAGGACUACGCGUAAGGGUAAAUUGGGAAGCAUCAUCAGCCCAGAAAUCACCAUACACUGCUUGAUUGUAGCUUGUUCCCCAUAGUUAGACAAAGAUAACCGUAUAGAAUAUUCUGUAGGCAGAAGAGUACAAAUUCUGUUAUUAGAAACUCUUAUAUAUAUAUCCAUGUAAUAAUCAAUCAGGCAUAUAUGAAUACAACUUUUCCUUGCAUAAAGACAAGAAAAUAUAUUGAUUAAGUUAAACAUAUUAUGAUGAUGUUUUUUUUUCCAGGUACCAAAAAAGAAGAUAGUUUUAGCUUUGCAAUCAAAAGUCUUACAUUUAUUUAGUAUUGGAAUUGAUUGAUAUUCUUAGGUGGAGGAACUUGUUUAUGGACGGUGGUGGCAGAUAAGGAUCUAAAAACCAAGUGUAACAGCAUAUUUAUUUGAUAUUGGAUGAUAUUUUUCAUUCGAGAAUGGUACAAAAAUGCAAAGUCAACCAUGAACUAAUCUGGUUGGUCAUGAUUAAAAAUACGGCUUGCCAUUCAUGAGUACAAAGGGUAAAUUUGAGAAAAGAAAAUGGGACCAACACACCAAUUAUUUAUUAUGAUAAUAAUAAUUUUUUUUUAUUAUUAUUAGUGUUCCCACCAAUCAUUUUAAGUGGUUUGAUUGAUUCGUAAAGACCGAUACGAAGAAGAAUAGGUAUUAGAGUUUUUGUGAGUAAUUUUACUUUUUUUGUUGAACUAAAGAUAAUUUGAGAAUUAAAACUUACAAAAGUCAUGAAAGUUUUAUUUUUUUAAAAUUACGAAUUUUUUAAAUGGUAAUUAAAAUUUAAAAAACUCUUAAUUUUGUUUAUCAUUGAUUCAUAGUAGUAUGCUUUUUUUCUUUUAUAUUUAGCAUUUAACACAGUCAAAGGUUUUGCUUCCGAGAAAGAGGAAAACAGAAAUUUUUCCACAAAGUUAGUUGGUGCAAUAAUUAACGUUACUUUGAUGGGUCCCCCUAAUAAUGUAUGCUUUGUUUGGUAGUCCGUCUGCCACCUUCUUAAAUAAAUACAGAUAAAUGUUAAAUAAAUAAUUAUCUCAAUAUAAUCUUUAUUUCUUACUUUCUUGUUUUGUUUUAGAUUUGUCCUUACAGGUUCUACUAUAUAAACAAUUGGAUUAUGUUUAUGUAAUUUACUUGUUGUAUAUUUAUUUAACAUUAUAUUUCAAUUUUUAUUUUAUUUUAUGAACAGUAGCAUAUGUGAAUUAAACGUGCGUUUGCAAAUUUUAAUAAACAAAUAUUUGAACUAAUUGAAUUUUUUGUAUUUUAACAGACAGUAUAUAUCUCAAUCUUAAUUAUAGAAAAAUUAAACAUUGUAAAUAUAUGGUCUUUUAAAUAUUUGCAAAUUUUAAUAAUAAAAUAUAUUUGAAUACUUACUAACUAAUUUAAUUUUUUUGGUAUUUUAACAGGUAAUAUAUAUUUCAAUCUUAUAAACAAAUUAAACAAAACCUUUUAUAAAUAUAUGGUCUUUUAAAUGGAAACCUUAAUUUGGGUCCCAAAAAUACUUAUUUACCCUCUUACAAAUAAAAACACACAUAUUGGGUAAGAUUUUCCUUCUUUGUAAUAACAAGGCUUCAAUAUAUCAGACUAGAAAAUUUUUUAUGGAUACUCACAAUGCUAUCUAACACAUUUAAAGCCAAAAAAUAUAAAUAUUACAAAAUUUAUGAUAUAAUAAAAAAAUGAGAAGUAUUAAUAAAAUUAAGAGAUAUCUAAGUAUUAUGUUAGGCGCAAAGCAUAAAGACCAGCUUCGAGGGCUAGUGCCUCCAGAACUAAAGGAAGAAGGGGAUUCAAGAGUAAAAGACAGUAUAUUUUCUCAUGCUUGAUUAAUUAUUUAUAUAGAUAUUUAUAGCAUUUUCCUAAUAACAGAAUUAUACUAUUUUGCCUACAAGUAAUAUUCUACUAACAGAAUUUGUUAUGCUUGUCUAUCCUAAGGAGACAAACAUGCAUUAACCAAGCCAAAUCGUGCUGAUGUUGCUACCAAAUUGCCUAAACUGCCCUUAAGCGUAAUCCUUCAAGUAUGAUGGCCUUGUGACUUUCCUUUUGGGCUUUUUUGCUUUCUGCACCCUGGGCUCCUCACUGGUUGCUGUUACGCCUUCUGUUUCUGGUGCUAUGUCUUUUGCUUCUUUAUCAUAUUAUUACACUUUCAAAUUUAAACUUUUAUACUACAUCUUUUUUGCUUUGUAUAUAUUUUAGGAUAUUGUGAGUGAAGUAAAUUAGGUAAGCAAACAAUGAAUUGGUGGAUUGGAAAUAUAAUGAUUAUCUAUUAAUUACGCAGAAUGGACUCAAUGGUCAACUAGUCAACUUUAGGCUUUUAUGAUAUUCCAGGAUGUAUUAACUAUUGAAAAAUAGGUAAGGGGAGGAAAGUCAAACCAAAAAAGUUAUAAAUGAAAUGAAAUACAAUAAAGAAAAGUUGUAACAAAAAGCUGGAAGUGUUAAAAGUACAAGAAAGCAAAUCAACUUGUCUUUUAUAUAUGAAUGAUAAAUGCCUUACAAUUUGUUGUAUGAUGGAUACUUAAUUAUAAGCUUGAAAGACCUUGCAAAUGCAAUACCAAAGUACAUAUGAGUAAGCCUUUUGGCACCAUUUUGACAUGCACUACACCCUGCUUCCUCAUAAUGCAAUAAUAUAAAAUAUUUACAUUAAAAAAUUAAAAAUAGAACCUAAUGAAUAAAAAGUAAGCCCUACUACUUUUAUGAUUUUUUAAUAUUUUAGUUAAUAAAAAUGUGUUUAUAAUUUUAGUUAAUCAUGUGUCUCCCUUCUGUUGCCUUCUCUCUCGUCAUCACCUGUCAAACUUCUACCAAGCUCCUCACUAAGGUGACCUCAGGCUCAUGCUCGUUCCCACCACGAGAAGUUGGGAUGCAGUGAAGAGAUAGAUGAACACAAGAGGGUGAGCGAGUGGAGAAGGAUAAGAUGGAGAUAUAAUUUAUUUUAGGUGCGUCAAAUAAAACAGGAUUACAUAAAGCAAUUGCCAAAACAAUUAACAUAACAAUAGGGCUUUGUUUCAAUGCCCAAAAACACCCAAAAAGCUCAUGACGUGUGGGUGUGCGUGUAUGUCUAUUACUAAUGUUUUUGUUAUAAAUCAAGCAAAGUACAAGAUAAAAAAUCAAUUUCCAAAAAAUUCAUCCGCGUAAUGUACGAUAUGUCUAUUAAUUUCGAGAAAUGCUAUAACCACCUAAAAGAAUACCAGAAAAAUUGGCCGUCCCCAUCAAAUUUGGACCCCUGCAACUAACUAUUAAUUAAUUUCAACUUUUUAAAAUGUUUUUUAGAUGAAAUAAAAAAUAAUUAAAUAAAGAUAUGUAGAAAAAAUAACUAAUGCAUCUAGAAAUUAAAAAAAAUCUUAUAAAAAAUAAUUUUUUAAAAGAAGAAUCUUAUAAUUAAAGACAAGAAAAUAUAUUGAUUAAGUUAAACACAUUAUGAUGAUGUUUUUUUUUUCAGGUACCAAAAAAGAAGAUAGUUUUAGCAUUGCAAUCAAAAGUCUAACAUUUAUUUAGUAUUGGAAUUGAUUGAUAUUCUUAGGUGGAGGAACUUGUUUAUGGACGGU